rnacentral:lncRNA from 1 species
GCUGUUACUCAGAGACUGUUGAGGCUAGUGAGAAGUCUCUGUGGAGGUUUCUGGAGAGUGUGGCUGCUUGUCCUUAGUGGCUGAUCCUAUCCUGAUUCCUAUUCUGAUUCCUAUCCUGCCUGCUGUCUGGUGUGCUGUAUUUCCUUGAAGAAAAACCCUGUGAUCCUAAACCACCUGUCUACAGGAAUUCCUGUCAUAAUGUGAGCUGCCAAGUGCCAACCCAUUCUGAGAUGCAUCCAAGCAUUUGAGGUAUAUUUUAUUUUACUAGAACUUCAUUACCUCAGGAAGAGUACCACAUUAUUGUCGCUUACAGGAUAUUUUGCAUGUAAAAUGCCCUUGGGGAUGUUCAAUAAAUUACUGCUAGACCACUUGGCAUAAUAUCUCUCAGUAAUGUUAUAAAAUAAUUAUGGAACAUUUCACUUUAUUAAAUUUCUAACAUGUAGUGAUGAAAUAAUCAUAAAACUUUCUUACCUUAGAUCUA